UUUUUUUUUUCCGAGACAAGAGUCUCACUCUGUCACCCAGGCUGGAGCGCGGUAGUGCGAUCUCAGCUUACUGCAACCUCCACCUCCCGGGUUCAAGCGAUUCUCCUGCCUCGGCCUCCCGAGUAGCUGAGAUUACAGGCGCCUCCCACUGCACCCAGCUAAUUUUUGUAUUUUUAGUAUAGAUGGGUUUGGCCAGGCUGGUCUCAAACUCCUGACCUCAAGUGAUCUGCCCGCCUCGGCCUCCGAAACUGGUGGGAUUACAGGCGCAAGCCACUGUGCCCGGCCUGUUAAUUUAUUUUUGCCCCAGUAUCUCCCUCCAAAUAUUCCUUAUAGAUGUCUCUUGGGGAGGUGGUGGGGGUUCUUGCGCUAGAAGAAAAAAUAUCUGUGAUUUCCUUGUCUUGACCCUUCCUGGCAGGUGCUGGGGACACAGCUGUUUCCCUGGGGCUGUGGCUGGGUAUAGGUGACAAACUUUUUAGCUUUGUAGAGGUAGGUCCUACAGCUGCCAGGCCAGGGAGGCUAGAGGCUGCCCUCUCCAGGUUCCUUGUUUGCCUGUGUCCUGUACUGAGCAGGCUUAGAGGAUCUCCUCUGAGCCCACUGUCACUGGAGCUGGUGGUGAGUCCAGUCUGCAGGAGAGGGGGUUCCUCUAGCCACACCCUCUUCAUUUCCAGGCUCUGCCAAUGAUGGGCUCAUCUCUUCAAUGUCAUCCUUUUUCCUGCAGCCACCUUGACCUCAAAGCAUUUCCUGCCCCUCCAACCUGGGGAACGACAGAAAAAAAAAAAAAAAAACCACCACCUGGGCACGGUGGCGCACUCCUACACUCCCCGCACUCUGGGAGGCUGAGGUGGGUAGAUCACAAGGUCAGGAGAUCAAGACCAUACUGGCUGACACGGUGAAACCCCGUCUCUACUAAAAAUACAAAAAAUUAGCCAGGCAUGGUGGCACAUGCCCGUAGUCCCAGCUAUUCGGGAGGCUAAGGCAGGAGAAUCACUUGAACCUGGGAGGCGGAGGUUGCAGUGAGCUGAGAUUGCACCACUGCACUCCAGCCUGGGUGACAGAGCAAGACUCUGUCUCAAAAAAGAAAGAAAAAAAGAAAGAAAAGAAAAACACCAUGGCAGGAAACUAACAAGGGGCCAGGAAGCUGGGAUGUGAACCUGGACCUGUUAAACUCCAGAGCUGCAGCUGUAAAUCACAUCCCUCUCCUGGACCACAGGAGCUCACUGGCCCCAGUUCCUGCAUUUGGAAAAUGGGGAUGGUUUUGACACCCCACCCCUCCAUGCCACCAUCCCUUCCUGGCCUCAUGGUGUGGGGAGGGGGUGGUAAAGAAUUAAUAAGGCAUUAAUAUUCAUCACAGGCUGGGUCCAGUGCCUCGCGACUGUAAUCCCAGCUCUUUGGGAGGCUGAGGCUGGAGGACCUUGGAGUUUGAGACCAGCCUACGCAACACAGCAAGACCUCAUCUCUACGAUAAAUUUUUAAAAAGUCCGGGUGCAGUGGCUCAUGCCUAUAAUCCCAGCACUUUGGGAGGCCAAGGCGGGUGGAUCAUGAGGUUAGGAGUUCAAGACCAGCCUGGCCAAGAUAGUGAAACCCCAUCUCUACUAAAAAUACAAAAAAAUUAGCCAGGUGUGGUGGUGGGCGCCUGUAAUCCCAGCUACUUGAGAGGCUAAGGCAGAGAAUUGCUUGGACUCGGGAGGCAGAGGGUGCAGUGAGCCGAGAUCAUGCCACUGCACUCCAGCCUGGGCAACAGAGUGAGACCCUGCCUCAAAAAAAAAAAAAAAGAAUCAAGAGAAAUUUCAGAGGGAGGAGAGACAGAAUAAGGCAACUGAGGAUGAUAGAGGGAGGGAGGCAGAGAGGAGAAGAUGAGACAGAAGUCCAUGUCCUCUGGGUUUGAUGGGAGGGAGGGAAGGAAGGAUGGAGACACAAGAGGGGGAGUGGAUAUGGGGAAGGAGUCAAAUUUGUUUAUGGGAUUGAGAGGUGAAGCCGGCUAGGCUUCUGGGUCGGGUGGGGACUUGAACUUUUCUGUCUAGCUAAAGGAUUGUAAACGUACCAAUCAGCACUCUGUGUCUAGCUAAAGGAUUGUAAAUGCACCAAUCAGCACUCUGUGUCUAGCUAAAGGUUUGUAAAUGCACCAAUCAGCGCUCUGUGUCUAGCUAAUCAGGUAGGGGACUUGGAGAAUUUUCUGUCUAGCUAAAGGAUUGUAAAUGCACCAAUCAGCACUUUGUGUCUAGCUAAAGUUUUGUAAAUGCACCAAUCAGCACUCUGUCAAAAUGGACAAAUCAGCACUCUAAAACGGAACAAUCAGCACUCUGUAAAAUGGACCAAUCAGCUCUCUGUAAAAUAGACCAAUCAGCAGGAUGUGGGUGGGGCCAAAUAAGGGAAUAAAAGGCCACCCGAGCCAGCAGCAGCAACCCACUCAGGUUCCCUUCCACGCUGUAGAAGCUCUGUUCUUUCACUCUUCGCAAUAAAUCUUGCUGCUGCUCACUCUUUGGGUCCGCACCACCUUUAUGAGCUGUAACACUCACCGCAAAGAUCUGCAGCUUCACUCCUGAAGUCAGCGAGACCACGAACCUACCAGAAGGAAUAAACUCCAGACACAUCCAAACAUCAGAAGGAACAAACUCCAGACACACCAUCUUUAAGAACUGUAACACUCACCGUGAGGGUCCACAGCUUCAUUCUUGAAGUCAGUGAGACCAAGAACCCACCAAUACUGGACACAUUUUGGCGACCACGAAGGGACUAUCGCCUAUCACCAAGCGGUGAGACUAUCGCCUAUCACCAAGCGAAUCGAGGCCAUCAAGCUACAGAUGGUCUUAAAAAUGGAACCCCAAAUGAGUUCAACUAACAACUUCUACUGAGGACCCCUGGACCGACCCACUGGCCCUUCCACUGGCCUAAAGAGUUCCCCUCUGGAGGACACUACAAUUGCAGGGCCCCUUCUUCCAGCAGGAAGUAGCUAGAGUGGUCAUCGGCCAAAUUCCCAACAGCAGUUGGGGUGUUCUGUUUAGAGGGGUGAUUGAGAGGUGAAGCCGGCUGGGCUUCUUGGUUGAGUAGGGACUUGGAGAACUUUUCUGUCUAGCUAAAGGAUUGCAAAUGCACCAAUCAGCGCUCUGUGUCUAGCUAAAGGUUUGUAAAUGCACCAAUCAGCGCUCUGUGUCUAACUAAUCGCGUAGGGGACUUAGAGAACUUUCCUGUCUAGCUAAAGGAUUGUAAAUGCACCAAUCAGCACUCUGUGUCUAGCUAAAGGUUUGUAAAUGCACCAAUCAGCACUCUGUCAAAACGGACCAAUCAGCACUCUGUAAAACGGACCAAUCAGCACUCUGUAAAGUGGACCAAUCAGCUCUCUGUAAAAUGGACCAAUCAGCAGGAUGUAGGUGGGGCCAAAUAAGGGAAUAAAAGCAGGACACCGCAGCCAGCAGCGGCAACGUGCUUGGGUCCCCUUCCAUGCUGUGGAAACUUUGUUCUUUCACUCUUCCCAGUAAAUCCUGCUGCUGCUCACUCUUUGGGUGCGCACUGCCUUUAUGAGCUGUAACACUCACCGCAAAGGUCUGCAGUUUCACUCCUGAAGUCAGCGAGACCAAAAGCCCACCAGAAGCAAGAAACUCUAGACAUGUCUGAAUAUCAGAAGGAACAAACUCUGGACACACCAUCUUUCAGAACCGUAACACUCACCGGAGGGUCUGUGGCUUCAUUCUUGGAGUCAGCAAGACCAAGAACCCACCAAUCUGGACACAGGAUGUGUUAUACAAAACUUAUAGGAGGCUAUUACUUUGGACUGACUUCCUACACCAGGCCCAACAAACUAAACCAAAAUGGAGUCACUCAUGCUAAAGUUUUACGUGAUCAAAAAGAAACUAAGUUGUUUAUCUGACCUUCUACAAAAUCAGGAGAGAGAGAGAUGGGAUAGCCAAGUCUCCCACCAGGUCAGUUUUAGCCAUCAUGAUAAGGAUGUCCUCUCUGCUUUAACCUUUACAAGAAAAGUAACUUUGGGCUGAGUGCGGUGGUGGCUCAUGCCUGUAAUCCCAGCACUUUGGGAGGCCAAGGCAGGAGGAUUGCUUGAGUUCAGGAGUUCAAAUCCAGCCUGGCCAACAAGGCAAGACCCUGUCUCUGGAAAAAAAAAAUUAGCUGGGCAUGGUGGCACACACCUGUGAUCCUAGCUCCUCAGGAGGCUGAGGUGGGAAGAUUGCUUGAUCCCAGGAAGUUGAGGUUGCAGUGAGCUAUGAUCGCACCACUGCACUCCAGCCUGGGUGACAGAGCAAGACUCAGACUCCAAAAGGAAACUUUAAAAUGACCAAUCCAAGUUUUCUUUUCUUUUUUUCUUUUUUUUUGAGUCGGAGUUUUGCUCUGCUCUCCCAGGCUGGAGUGCAAUGGUGUGAUCUUCGCUCACUGCAACCUCCGCCUCCCUGGUUCAAGUGAUUCUCCUGCCUCAACCUCCUGAGUAGCUGGGAUUACAGGCACCUGCCACCGCGCCCGGCUAAUAUUUUUGUAUUGUUAGUAGAGAUAGGGUUUCAUCAUCAUUAUCAUGUUGGUCAAGCUGGUCUCGAACUCCUGACCUCGGGUGAUCUGCCUGCCUCGGCCUCCAAAGUGCUGGGAUUACAGGCAUGAGCCACUGCACCUGACCUCCACGUUUUAUUUUCUGUUUGUGCUUUACUUGGCCCUUUUUCUGCCUGUAAAACCAACCUACCUGCUCAGCUCAUGGGAAAAUUAGUUUCAUUUUGUGAAAUGAAGUGUUGCCCGAUUGUAGAAUUGCAAAUAAAAUCAAUUAAGAUCUUUAAACUAAAUGUGUUGUAAUUUUGUUUUUUUGACAGAUGCCCAAUGAACACCCUGGGAAUGAGAUCCAAGAGGCGAUAAUGGCAUCUGCUCUAAUAACUAGUACAUUGACUCUAGGCUUAGAUUAUUCACCACUGAAUAAAUAAACGUAUUUAUUCAGCAGUGGGGAACUUACAGCAAUGAUGGGGACAGAUACAGUCCCUGAUGUCAUCAGGCUGAUAUGCUGCUGACAGAGGACAAAAAACAAACAGAUCAAUGGGUCAGGAAAGCAAGGCUUUUUUUUUUUUGAGACAGGGUCUUGCUCUGUUACCCAAGCUGGAGUGCAGUGGGGUGAUCAUGGCUCACUGCAGCCUCGAUUUCCCAGGCUCGAAUGAUCCUCCCGCCUUGGCCUCCCAAGUAUCUGGGACCCUGGCAUGAUGCACCACAUCUGGCUAAUUUUUGUUGUUGUUCUUUUCUUUUUUUUCCUUUUCUCUUUUUUUUCCUUUUUUUCUUUUUUUUUUUUUUUUUUUGAGAGACUGGGUUUUGACAUGUUGCCUAGGCUGGUCUCUAGCUCCUGGCCUCAAGUGAUCCUCCCACCUCAGCCUCCUCAAAGGGCAUGUUUUUAGGCAUAAGCCACCGCAGCCAGCCAAAACAAACAAACAAAAAGUAACGUAUACUUUGUGUUAAUAAUUUUGCAUAGUAUAUUGAAAAUUUGCCAAGAAAGUACAUUUUAGAUACUCUCACUACACACACAGUUAAUUAUGGAAGGCAAUGGAUAGGUUAAUUGCUUAACUCUCAUAAUUGGCCAUGUGUGGUGAAAAUGCCUGUAAUCCCAGCACUUUGGGAGGCCAAGGUGGGCGAAUCACCUGAGGUCAGGAGUUCGAGAUCAGCCUGACCAACAUGGAGAAACCCCGUCUCUACUAAAAAUACAAAAAAAUUAGCCAAGCAUGGUGGUGCAUGCCUGUAAUCCCAGCUAUUCGGGAGGCUGAGGCAUGAGAAUCGCUUGAACCCGGGAGGCAGAGGCUGCAG
rnacentral:lncRNA from 1 species